AGAGUUUGAUCCUGGCUCAGAUUCCAACGCUGGCGGCAUGCCUUACACAUGCAAGUCGAACGGCAGCAUAGGAGCUUGCUCCUGAUGGCGAGUGGCGAACGGGUGAGUAAUAUAUCGGAACGUGCCCUAGAGUGGGGGAUAACUAGUCGAAAGACUAGCUAAUACCGCAUACGAUCUACGGAUGAAAGUGGGGGAUCGCAAGACCUCAUGCUCCUGGAGCGGCCGAUAUCUGAUUAGCUAGUUGAUGGGGUAAAAGCCUACCAAGGCAACGAUCAGUAGCUGGUCUGAGAGGACGACCAGCCACACUGGGACUGAGACACGGCCCAGACUCCUACGGGAGGCAGCAGUGGGGAAUUUUGGACAAUGGGGGCAACCCUGAUCCAGCAAUGCCGCGUGAGUGAAGAAGGCCUUCGGGUUGUAAAGCUCUUUUGUCAGGGAAGAAACGGUGGUAGCGAAUAACUACUACUAAUGACGGUACCUGAAGAAUAAGCACCGGCUAACUACGUGCCAGCAGCCGCGGUAAU
rnacentral:rRNA from 1 species